GAUGCACGAAAAGCUAGGGGAGCAAACAGGAUUAGAUACCCUGGUAGUCCUAGCCCUAAACGAUGAUUGCUUGAUGUGGUGGGUACCCAAUCCUGCCGUGUCGAAGCUAACGGCGAUAAGCAAUCCGCCUGGGGAGUACGGUCGCAAGGCUGAAACUCAAAAGGAAUUGACGGGGGCCCGCACAAGCGGUGGAGCAUGUGGUUUAAUUCGACGCAACGCGAAGAACCUUACCUGGGCUCGAAAUGCUAUUGAAUCCGGUAGAAAUAUCGGCGUCCCGCAAGGGACAGUAGUAUAGGUGCUGCAUGGCUGUCGUCAGCUCGUGUCGUGAGAUGUUGGGUUAAGUCCCGCAACGAGCGCAACCCUUAUCUCCAGUUGCUACCAUUUAGUUGAGCACUCUGGCGAAACCGCCUCGGAUAACGGGGAGGAAGGUGGGGAUGACGUCAAGUCCUCAUGGCCUUUAUGUCCAGGGCUACACACGUGCUACAAUGGCCGGUACAAACCGCUGCAAACCCGUGAGGGGGAGCUAAUCGGAAAAAGCCGGCCUCAGUUCGGAUUGGAGUCUGCAACUCGACUCCAUGAAGCUGGAAUCGCUAGUAAUCGCGGAUCAGCAUGCCGCGGUGAACACGUUCCCGGGCCUUGUACACACCGCCCGUCACAUCACGAAAGUGGGUUGCACUAGAAGUUGGUGCGCUAACCGCAAGGGAGCAGCCGCCCAAGGUGUAAUUCAUGAUUGGGGUGAA
rnacentral:rRNA from 1 species